CGAUGCUGCGGCGCAACAGCGUGUGCGAAACCGAGUCCGAAUCCCGACGCGCUCCGGCUCCCAUGGAGCUUAGAUUUUAGGUGUGAGCUGCUCCCCCUGUAUGGAUCCAGAUGUUCUCGUGGAGCCGUAAGCAGUCCUCCUCCGGCUCGUCCUCCGGCCGCCGCCGCGGCGGGGCGGACGCCUCCAUGGACUCCAGCAGCCGCGGCGGCGGCGGGAGCGGGAGCCGCGGACGGAGCCCGCGGUUGGAUCGCCGCAACGCAGUGAAGCGCAUCGAGUACGAGGCGAGCGCGGGGGCGUCCGCGUCGUGGUCGUCCUCGUCCUCCGCGGAGCAGCAGCGCUCGCCGGGGCUCCGGCCCUCGCGCUCCCUGGACCUUGCCCCCGGCGCGGACCUCCGAAUCAGCGGGAGCGUGGAGGGGGAGGUCGACGAGCUCUGCCGCAGCCUGGGGCUCUCGGGGCCCGAGGAUUUCGCCGUCCCCGUCGCGGCCUGGGAGGCGCGCAAGUCGCGGUCUAACUCCGACCUCCUCCCGCGCUCCCGCCUCGACCCGUCCACACCCGCCGACGAAACCUCGCCGAUUGCGCGGGCGGUCUCGGCGCCCGGUGCUCAGCCGACUCGCUCCUUCCCUGCCCCCAUUCCCGAGGAGUCACUCCACUCUUCGCCUGCUUCCACCGCCACCGAGUCGGCGGAGGAGCCUACCGUUGCGGCGCCCGAGGAGUCACCCAACGCUGCCCCUGCCUCUGCUGUCGUGGCUCCCGUCGGGGGUUUGCCCCUGCCUUCGCCAAGGAGGGGAGGCGGGGAGGUAGGGAUACGGGGUGCACGGCCGCCUUUACUCUCCCCGCCUCCGCCAAUUGGUGCACUAGCUCCUCCGCCAGUUAGGAGGUCCUUCGUUGACAAUGACAUGACUGGGUCCGCUUGGGACAUUGUGCAGUCGUUUGCUCCCAGGGAUCAGGGAAGUGAACUGGGACUGGGAGGAAGUGUCGACAGUCGUUGCAAUUCGGACAAAGAGGAAGAGAAUGAUGUUGAGGAUGGGGACGCAGCGGUGGAGGGCGAGCUGAAGGAAUUGAGGAUAGGAGAGACUUUCGAGGGGUUCACUGGAACUUCUUCAUUGUCGACGACGAAUGAUGAUGACGCGUCCAGUACAACCACGGAGGCCAUGUUCAUCAUUUCACCGAAUGGCAAGUUCAAGCGGAACAUUAAAUCAUGGAUGCGUGGUGCUCUUCUGGGAAGCGGCUCAUUUGGGAUGGUGUACGAGGGGAUCAGUGAUGAGGGUGCAUUUUUUGCUGUGAAGGAAGUAUCUUUGCUUGACCAAGGAAGCAACGCACAACAAUCUAUUGUUGCACUUGAGCAGGAAAUUGCACUCCUCAGUCAGUUUGAACAUGAAAAUAUAGUCCAGUAUUAUGGAACUGACAAGGAAGAAUCCAAACUCUAUAUUUUUAUUGAGCUUGUCACACAAGGGUCUCUUUCAUCCCUCUAUCAAAAGUAUAAACUACGAGAAUCACAAGUCUCUGCAUACACAAGGCAGAUUCUUAAUGGAUUGGUUUAUCUCCAUGAGAGAAAUGUGGUCCACAGAGAUAUCAAAUGCGCCAAUAUAUUGGUCCAUGCAAAUGGAUCUGUAAAGCUUGCAGAUUUUGGAUUGGCAAAGGAGAUGUCAAAAAUUAAUAUGCUAAGGUCAUGCAAAGGAAGUGUUUACUGGAUGGCACCUGAGGUUAUUAAUCCUAAAAAGAUGUAUGGGCCUUCAGCUGAUAUAUGGAGCCUUGGCUGCACCGUGUUGGAAAUGCUAACCCGGCAAAUACCAUUUCCUAAUGUCGAGUGGACAAAUGCUUUCUUCAUGAUUGGAAGAGGGGAACAGCCUACUAUUCCCAACUACCUGUCUAAGGAGGCACAAGAUUUUAUUGGCCAGUGCGUAAGAGUUGAUCCUGAGAGCCGGCCUUCUGCGUCACAACUUCUGGAGCACCCAUUUGUUAACAGACCACUGCGAGCUUCAUUUGAAUCUUCGUCUCCACCAGCCAUCUGAUUCUAGUAUUGAUAUAAUGGGGUGUUUCUCGUUGAGGCCAAUGCUCAGGUCACGUACUCACGUGUUGAUCUUCAUGAUCUACACUACUGGUUCCAGAAUGGAAUUACGUGGGCUUGUUUAGGAUGUAGUUUAGUAGCUGUAGUCCGUAGGGUUGGUGGGCAGCAUUGCUCUGUGGUUUUGUAUUCUUUGGGGUGUUCUUCAUUGGGCAAAGGGUUUUCUUCCUGGUUAUUACGUAGAUUUGUGUAAACUUGUAGGUAAAAGGGCUGCAAUUGCCUCUGGGCUCUGGUGUAGGUUUAGCCGAUGUUUGUGAAUGUUUGACAUCGCCAUUCUUUACGUAAAUGGUUUUGUUGCUCAAAAAAGCAUCCGGAGCAUUGAAUC